UACGUAGGGUGCGAGCGUUGUCCGGAAUUAUUGGGCGUAAAGGGCUCGUAGGCGGUUUGUCGCGUCGGGAGUGAAAACUCAGGGCUUAACCCUGAGCCUGCUUCCGAUACGGGCAGACUAGAGGUAUGCAGGGGAGAACGGAAUUCCUGGUGUAGCGGUGAAAUGCGCAGAUAUCAGGAGGAACACCGGUGGCUAAGGCGGCUCUCUAGUACGGUACUGACGCUGAGACGCGAAAGCGUGGGGAGCGAACAGG
rnacentral:rRNA from 1 species